GCUUUAUGGGAGAUUAAGAAAACCACCUGUCUCUAAAGGGGUUAGUUAGGGUUGUUCUGAGCCCUAGGGGUUAGUCAGACUGAUCUUCAGUCUUUAUAUUCAUUUGAAAUCAAUUUACUAAUUAACUUGAGCCUUGUCUUAACUUGAGCCUUGUCUAGCAUCAUGUUGGAUGAUUUGUUUAUUUUUUAAAUACCUGCACCAAACCUUUGUAUUGAAUCUUCUGCUUCCUGCGUCUCCUUGCUCAACAACAUCAGCCAGACAGCUCGAACCAUCCAGGGCAAGGAGAGAAGGAGAGAGGAAGCUGUGCCUGUUUGAAUCCUAGGCCUCAGACUGCCUGCUGGACACCAUUCAGAAAUCCAUUCUCCUGCCUGAACAAUGCCUAGCCCAGCUUCCUAGCUUACCAUUUCACACGCGCUACAAUGCUCCCGUCUCGCCCAGCCACCAAGGCUCUCCUCACAUUCACACUAUAGCUCCCAUUUUCUGACACUUUGCAUUUGCUUUCUGAGAGAAAUGUUGAUUCAUGAUCGAAUCAUUCCUGUCCCAGUGGCUCUGCAGACAUUCUGGCAUAGUAACCAUGGAGAUCACACUCAGAUAAGAUCAGAUGUGACAAAUGACCAUGUGAAUUUAUUUUUGUGCUGUCUCUAGGGUUACAUGUUUAAUGCUGUAUUACAUGAAACAUUCCAUUAAACAAAUGACAUAUUUC